rnacentral:lncRNA from 1 species
UUAGAACAGAUAAAAUUUAACAAUUUCGUAGCUUGUUUCAUGAUUCUUGUUUCUGUCUAAUCUUGCCCAUGGAACAUCUAAUAAAAUUUUCUAGGUUGUUUUUAAGCAUCAACACCGUAUCGGGAGGCCUUCACAUUGAGUGGCAUUGAGGGCCAUGCUCUAGUGUAACUGGUUUCAACAUGUGAAGUCUGUCUUUCUCGACAUUAAUGAAAUAACAUACCGUCAAAUACUACAAACUUGAUUAUCGGAGGGUUCUAAUAGGAGUCUUUCAUUGCCCUUUGACAAGUCGCACUUUUGAAGCACUUAUUCAAAUAUAUGGGGGCAGCUCAUUUGCAUAACAU